AGUCAAACUGAUAACCUUCUCGAACAAAUAAAUCACGGAAAAGCCUUUUCAAAUAGGAAUAAUCUGGUUUGUCUUCAAAACGCAAUGAUCGACAAUAAUGGAAGUAUGAUAUGAACUCUGAUGGAUAUGAUUUGCAAAGAACCUCAACAGGAGUUAACAUCUUCUUUUCACUGAUUUUAUCAUAUUUUUGCUUCUUUGUCCCUGCUUUAAGGCCCUGCCAGGGAAGGCUUCCCCUCAGAAAAUACAUAAGCACAUAUCCAAGAGAUUCCAGAUCAUCCCUUCUGCUUUGCUCUGGAAGUAAAAUAUUACCACAGUUAGGCUGAGAUUUAAUGUUGGAUCAAAUUUGAUUGUGAUAGCAACAUCUAGCACCCAUAUUCAAUUACAAGCUACGGUCAGCCACUCACCAACUCCAAGAUGUGUGUUAACACUAGCAUAGCGAGCUGUGCCUGUGAGAUUUUUGUUUUCCCUAUAUGGUAUAUGCUUGUGCGUUUGAAGAUCCUUGUACUUUUUUGCAAGGCCAUAAUCAAUGAUGUAGACCUGUGUUUAAGAGGAAAAACAGCGAAAAUAAUAAGGACAACUAUGAGGAUAUGCUAUACUUGAAGAUCUGUUAGUGUACCAAUUAUAAUGCCAAGUAAAUAAAAUGGACUAAAAAAGCUUCAUUUCAUUUUCAAUUUCAAGAUCACUUAGAGAAAGUACCUAACGGAAUACAAGAUUGAAUAUUGAAAAAGAGAGCUCAAUCUCAAUUAAGCUUCAUAAAAUGUUUAAGAAUGUUGUAAUCAAUAGUCAAACACUAGAAAAAUCAUCACUUAACAAAAUUACAACUUUAAUUACCCAAAAAUACAACAUGAUUGUUACUAUUCACACUUUUGCAUGCCUUCUUGCUUCUCUCCUUGUUUCAGGUCCUUACAAGUUACAUAGCGUUGUAGUAGCUCAUCAUUUAGAUUAAUUAAAAAAGUCAAAAGUCAUAAUAUCAUGCCACAUCUCUUUCAAAUUUCACUAUUAUAACUGCUAACAAUUCCAACUUCAUUGAUUAUGUUCUCACAAGUUAAAAGAUGGCAUAGAAUAAAUAUAAUCAAUUGGCAAGUCAACGCUACAAAAGGAAGGCCACGUAAACUGUUGUUGCAUAAGAUUUAAAAGAAAUGGAACAAUUGACAAGCCGAAGGCCAAAGGGGCGAUUUCUGUCAUGGCAGUCAACAUAAAUGUUACAUCUGUGAAAAUUUCCCCACAUCAGCUCAUCUUACUUAGUACAUUAUUGAUUCAGCACCAUUCUUACUACUUAGAUAUAUCUACAUUAUGCAAACUUGCACCGUAGAUUCAAGGAGUUAUUUUUACAGGAACAAUGGCUUUUGUACCUAUGGCAACUAGAUGACACUAGUAGAACUGAUGUUUCCAAAAAAAGCGACAAGAUAUAUUUUAAAUAAGACCUUAGAAGUUAGAACCGCAUGUAUAGAAGAGUCCAAAUAAAUUUGAUGAGCAAAAAUAUAAGUGAGAGGAUACAUUCACGUAAAGGCAUUAAACAGAAGAACUUACCUGAUUUGCUUUACGCCCUAAACCCAUUAAAAAGUUGUCAGGCUUU
rnacentral:misc_RNA from 1 species